rnacentral:rRNA from 1 species
GUGGGGAAUCUUAGACAAUGGGCGCAAGCCUGAUCUAGCCAUGCCGCGUGAGCGAUGAAGGCCUUAGGGUUGUAAAGCUCUUUCGUGGGGGAAGAUAAUGACUGUACCCCAAGAAGAAGCCCCGGCUAACUCCGUGCCAGCAGCCGCGGUAAUACGGAGGGGGCUAGCGUUGUUCGGAAUUACUGGGCGUAAAGCGCACGUAGGCGGACUGGAAAGUCAGGGGUGAAAUCCCGAGGCUCAACCCCGGAGCUGCCUUUGAGACACCCAGUCUUGAGUUCGAGGGAGGUGAGUGGAAUUCCGAGUGUAGAGGUGAAAUUCGUAGAUAUUCGGAGGAACACCAGUGGCGAAGGCGGCUCACUGGCUCGAUACUGACGCUGAGGUGCGAAAGCGUGGGGAGCAAACAGGAUUAGAUACCCGAGUAGUCC